rnacentral:rRNA from 1 species
CGGGGUGAGUAAUGUAUGGGGAUCUGCCUGAUGGCGGGGGAUAACUACUGGAAACGGUAGCUAAUACCGCAUAACGUCGCAAGACCAAAGAGGGGGACCUUCGGGCCUCUUGCCAUCGGAUGUGCCCAGAUGGGAUUAGCUAGUAGGUGAGGUAACGGCUUACCUAGGCGACGAUCCCUAGCUGGUCUGAGAGGAUGAUCAGCCACACUGGGACUGAGACACGGCCCAG